GCGGGGAUGGCGGAACUGGCAGACGCGCAAGACUUAGGAUCUUGUCCGCAAGGGUGGGGGUUCAAUUCCCCCUCCCCGCACCA
rnacentral:tRNA from 1 species